CCGAUUUUUUGACGAGCGCAUCUAUUAGAUUAAAACCAAUCGGGUUUCGGCCCGUCAAUUGGUGACUCUGAAUAACUAUGGCUGAUCGCAUGGUCUUGAACCGGCGACGUGUCUAUCAAGUGUCUGCCUUAUCAACUGUCGAUGGUAGUUUAUGUGCCUACCAUGGUUGUAACGGGUAACGGAGAAUAAGGGUUCGACUCCGGAGAGGGAGCCUGAGAAACGGCUACCACAUCCAAGGAAGGCAGCAGGCGCGCAAAUUACCCACUCUCGGCAUGAGGAGGUAGUGACGAAAAAUAACGAGACCGUUCUCUCUGAGGCCGGUUAUCGGAAUGGGUACAAUUUAAACCCGUUAACGAGGAUCUAUGAGAGGGCAAGUCUGGUGCCAGCAGCCGCGGUAAUUCCAGCUCUCAAAGUGUAUAUCGUCAUUGCUGCGGUUAAAAAGCUCGUAGUUGGAUCUGCGCCUCAGGACUUGGUCCGCCCACUGGGCGAGAACUGGGCUCCUGGGCUAGUACUGCUGGUUUUCCCUACGUUGCCUUCAUCGGUCGCGUAGGGUGGCUAGCGAGUUUACUUUGAAAAAAUUAGAGUGCUUCACGCGGGCUUAUGUCUGAAUACUCGUGCAUGGAAUAAUAGAAUAGGAUCUCGGUUCUAUUUUGUUGGUUUUCUGAUCUGAGAUAAUGGUUAAGAGGGACGGACGGGGGCAUUCGUAUCGCUGCGUGAGAGGUGAAAUUCUUGGACCGUAGCGAGACGUCCGACUGCGAAAGCAUUUGCCAAGAAUGUCUUCAUUAAUCAAGAACGAAAGUCA
rnacentral:rRNA from 2 species